CCAGUUUGAAAGAAGCCCUCACCGAUGUCCGCGCAGAUACUGCCAGGCACACAGCUCCGUGGUGCCAGAAGAGACAUCUUAAGCUGGAAGCGGCUCACAGUAAUUGGUGCUUUCUAGGCUGCUGCCUCGCUGGAGAGCAGAGGCGAGGCAGAAGGGAUGCGUCCUCCUCUGCAUGCAGUGAUUGCCGGCCCAAAAUAGCCUUGCACCUGCUCUGAGCUGCCUGCGAGAUAAUUUCAGCUUCCAAGGAGACUACCCUGAUUGGUGUUGAUUUCUUAUGAUCUCCCCUCUGGCACACACCUGCAGAAAAACACCUGAUCAUAGAGGCACACCCUGGAGAGCCAGGUCACCGAGCGAGCCUGCCCGAAGAGGACCAGCCCUGUUCACAGAGUUUCAUCUGCCCCAAGAAGAAGCUAUCAGAACAAGAAGCCAAACCCAAUGGCCUGCAGGGCUGAUACCAAGUCUGAACUGGGAUGGAGGCUUACCAUUGCUACUUUGGACACGGAAGGCCUCGAGCAGAUCAUACACAGGCUCCACCUGCAAAUCUCACCUUCUGGAUCUGAUGAGAAGAUUAAUGUUCUGCGUUUCCCUAAGUCAACAUGAAAUGCCACGGGAAAUGCCUUUUCUGUGCUAUUGACGUGUAAACUCCCUCAGUAGAGCUGGCCUGUUAUCAUCUGGCCUGCUGACUCCCAAUAGCCUCCUGUUUUUUUUCUGUAUUAACUGCUGGCUGAUGUGCUUAGGUUUUCAAUACCUACCCAAUCCAUUAUGGAUACAUGGCCAGCAAGUAUCCAUAAUCUUGCCCAGGCCAGCCAGAGACAACUCUGAGCAAAUUUUAAAAUGUGGGCUGACCUUUCACUUCUAUGACUUGAACCCUGGCCAUAUCCUCUGUCCUUCUGAAUUAUUGGUGGUGGUCCACAUAGGCCAAGCCUUCCUCAUUACUAUGAACUGACACACACCUUAACAGUAUGGAAUGCACUCGGUCUAAGAGAACGAUGUGACCAGCAUGGUGUAUAUAUCAUCUACAUCCCUGAAAACAGCUUAAGUCCAAAUUGUAAACCCCCUUCAGUUGUCCCUCCACUAG